UUUCUCCUUUUAUGAGCAUUAAUAUAACUGACAUGAAAACUUAAUUGCACUUUAGACAGUUUAGGAAAGUCUCAUGCUUUACUCACUAUUACAUUUUAAAUAUUUUCAUUCUGGACACAUCCGAUGCAUGAACAUGAAAGGAUUGAAUUGUCCCCAUUCCUUACGUAUUUGUGUGGACAUUUUAAAAAACACAGUCAUUUAUGAAUAAGUACUUUCUAUUGAUGAAACCCAUAAAAAUCUCAAAAUGUAAAACCCUAUAUUUCAUGCCUUCUGCCCACAUGUAAGUAUACAUUUUUUGAUAAGACAAGGAAGUCCACAGGCUCCUCCAUCUCUUAUUCUUGCUAAGGUUAUUUCAGGUUUGACUAGAAUUUGACUAGAAUUUCCUUGUGGAGAAUCUUGUGGAAAAUUGUCCUACUCUACUUAGAAACUGGAGUUCAAAUUACCUCUGCUAAUUUAGCCUGGCUUCUGUUAAGUGCCCUGUGUGUUUAAACCUCUCCCUCCAGCUAUCUGCUUAUUUUGGGUACUAUUAAACUACCUGCUUGUCCAAAAGCUCCCCCUGUAGCUCCCGAACAAGAUAAUAGGAUAUGGGUUUUCCUCUAAAUGCUGGGGCUAUACUUGGGUUCCAAAUACAUGAAUGUACUCAGAGCUGACUGGAAUAAAGACUUUAAUUUUGAAGU
rnacentral:lncRNA from 1 species